rnacentral:rRNA from 2 species
AGAGUUUGAUCCUGGCUCAGGAUGAACGCUAGCGGCAGGCUUAACACAUGCAAGUCGAGGGGCAACACGGGUAGCAAUACCUGGUGGCGACCGGCGCAAGGGUGCGUAACGCGUGAGCAACAUACCCUAUACAGGGGGAUAAUCCAGGGAAACUUGGUCUAAUAUCCCAUAGGAUUUACAGAUGUCAUCAUCUAUAAAUUAAAGCUUCGGUGGUAUAGGAUUGGCUCGCGUGACAUUAGCCAGAUGGUGAGGUAACGGCUCACCAUAGCAAUGAUGUCUAGGGGUUUUGAGAGGAAGGCCCCCCACACUGGGACUGAGACACGGCCCAGACUCCUACGGGAGGCAGCAGUGAGGAAUAUUGGACAAUGGAUGGAAAUCUGAUCCAGCCAUGCCGCGUGCAGGAAGACGGCCUUAUGGGUUGUAAACUGCUUUUAUACGGGAGCAAUAAGGGUUUCGAGUAAUCCGAUGAGAGUACUGUAUGAAUAAGGAUCGGCUAACUCCGUGCGAGCAGCCGCGGUAAUACGGAGGAUCCGAGCGUUAUCCGGAAUUAUUGGGUUUAAAGGGUGCGCAGGCGGGAGAUUAAGUCGGCGGUGAAAUUUUGCAGCUCAACUGUAAAAGUGCCUUCGAAACUGGUUUCCUUGAGUGUAGAUGAAGUAGGCGGAAUUUGUGGUGUAGCGGUGGAAUGCAUAGAUAUCACGAGGAACUCCGAUUGCGCAGCAGCUUACUAAACUACUACUGACGCUCAGGCACGAAGGCGUGGGGAUCAAACAGGAUUAGAUACCCUGGUAGUCCACGCAGUAAACGAUGAUUACUAGCUGUUUGCGAUACAAUGUGAGCGGC